rnacentral:rRNA from 1 species
GAGUGAACGCUGGCGGUAGGCCUAACACAUGCAAGUCGAACGGCAGCACAGUAAGAGCUUGCUCUUACGGGUGGCGAGUGGCGGACGGGUGAGGAAUACAUCGGAAUCUACUUUUUCGUGGGGGAUAACGUAGGGAAACUUACGCUAAUACCGCAUACGACCUACGGGUGAAAGCAGGGGAUCUUCGGCCCUUGCGCGAUCGAAUGAGCCGAUGUCGGAUUAGCUAGUUGGCGGGGUAAAGGCCCACCAAGGCGACGAACCGUAGCUGGUCUGAGAGGAUGAUCAGCCACACUGGAACUGAGACACGGUCCAGACUCCUACGGGAGGCAGCAGUAGGGAAUAUUGGACAAUGGGCGCAAGCCUGAUCCAGCCAUACCGCGUGAGUGAUGAAGGCCUUCGGGUUGUAAAGCCCUUUUGUUAGGAAAGAAAAGCAGCAGGUUAAUAAACCGCUGUUCUGACGGUACCCAAAGAAUAAGCGCCGGCUAACUUCGUG